rfam:Hydnomerulius pinastri MD-312 unplaced genomic scaffold scaffold_8, whole genome shotgun sequence.
GGUGUGAUGGCCGAGCGGUCUAAGGCGCCAGAAUCAGGAGCACAUGAUCGUGUCUAAAUCUGGUCUCUCCGGGGGCGUGAGUUCGAAUCUCACUCACAUCA